rnacentral:lncRNA from 1 species
CCUAUCAUAAGAAAAAGUCAAUUUAUAAGCAACAAGCACCAUUUCAUAUCCAAGGAUAACUAAUUCAAAAAAAUAACUUUUACCAUAUGCGAGCCAAGUUAUCUUGAAUCUCGAGAUCCCCAAUGUUAUAGAACGUAGUGGGAUUUACAUUUGCCCCCAGAAUAGCAUCAUAACUUGGCCUUUUGUCCAAAGGAGAUUGUGAUAACUGCCAUGAA